ACAUUGGGACUGAGAUACGGCCCAGACUCCUACGGGAGGCAGCAGUGGGGAAUAUUGGGCAAUGGGCGCAAGCCUGACCCAGCAACGCCGCGUGAAGGAAGAAGGCUUUCGGGUUGUAAACUUCUUUUAAGAGGGAAGAGCAGAAGACGGUACCUCUAGAAUAAGCCACGGCUAACUACGUGCCAGCAGCCGCGGUAAUACGUAGGUGGCAAGCGUUGUCCGGAUUUACUGGGUGUAAAGGGCGUGCAGCCGGGUCUGCAAGUCAGAUGUGAAAUCCAUGGGCUCAACCCAUGAACUGCAUUUGAAACUGUAGAUCUUGAGUGUCGGAGGGGCAAUCGGAAUUCCUAGUGUAGCGGUGAAAUGCGUAGAUAUUAGGAGGAACACCAGUGGCGAAGGCGGAUUGCUGGACGAUAACUGACGGUGAGGCGCGAAAGUGUGGGGAGCAAACAGGAUUAGAUACCCUGGUAGUCCACACUGUAAACGAUGAAUACUAGGUGUGCGGGGACUGACCCCCUGCGUGCCGCAGUAAACACAAUAAGUAUUCCACCUGGGGAGUAC
rnacentral:rRNA from 1 species